rnacentral:rRNA from 1 species
GAUGAACGCUGGCGGCGUGCCUAAUACAUGCAAGUCGAGCGAACAGACGAGGAGCUUGCUCCUCUGAUGUUAGCGGCGGACGGGUGAGUAACACGUGGAUAACCUACCUAUAAGACUGGGAUAACUUCGGGAAACCGGAGCUAAUACCGGAUAACAUGUUGAACCGCAUGGUUCAACAGUGAAAGACGGUCUUGCUGUCACUUAUAGAUGGAUCCGCGCCGCAUUAGCUAGUUGGUAAGGUAACGGCUUACCAAGGCAACGAUGCGUAGCCGACCUGAGAGGGUGAUCGGCCACACUGGAACUGAGACACGGUCCAGACUCCUACGGGAGGCAGCAGUAGGGAAUCUUCCGCAAUGGGCGAAAGCCUGACGGAGCAACGCCGCGUGAGUGAAGAAGGUCUUCGGAUCGUAAAACUCUGUUAUUAGGGAAGAACAAAUGUAUAAGUAACUAUGCACGUCUUGACGGUACCUAAUCAGAAAGCCACGGCUAACUACGUG